rnacentral:lncRNA from 1 species
AGAGAAUAAAACAGUAGGCCACUCUUCAUUACAGAAAGAAAACCCAUUUGAAGACCAUUUUUCUGUAUAAUCACUUCAAAAACAUGAAUAUCACUUUGGAGGUCAAGGUCAACAUAGCUGACAUAAACCUGAUACGUGGAUCAGAGAUGGUUUUCGUGGAGGACAUGGGCAUAUUCAAGACUCUUUUAAGAGAACAGUUCUCCUUUAUGUCCCAGUCAAGAGAAAGAGGAACCAAGCCCUGUGUGAAAAACUUGGUCCCGAGUCCAUGUGGUCUGAGAAGAGAAUGCAAGUUUUUUACAAUAAGUUUUGAUGAUGGUCUAUCUUCAGUUGGCCCAUAUCAAAAGAGCUGCUGUUAG